rnacentral:rRNA from 1 species
GACGAACGCUGGCGGCGUGCUUAACACAUGCAAGUCGAGCGGUAAGGCCCUUUCGGGGUACGACGAGCGGCGAACGGGUGAGUAACACGUGGGUGACCUGCCUUUAGCUCUGGGAUAAGCCUGGGAAACGUGGGUCUAAUACCGGAUAUGACUCCGCGGUGCAUGCUGUGGGGUGGAAAGCCUUGUGCGGCUGGAGAUGGGCCCGCGGCCUAUCAGCUUGUUGGUGGGGUGAUGGCCUACCAAGGCGACGACGGGUAGCCGGCCUGAGAGGGCGACCGGCCACACUGGGACUGAGACACGGCCCAGACUCCUACGGGAGGCAGCAGUGGGGAAUCUUGGCGCAAUGGGCGAAAGCCUGACGCAGCGACGCCGCGUGAGGGAUGACGGCCUGG